AUUGAACGCUGGCAGCAGGCCUAACACAUGCAAGUCGAACGGUAACAGGAAACAGCUUGCUGUUUCGCUGACGAGUGGCGGACGGGUGAGUAAUGUCUGGGAAACUGCCUGAUGGGGGGGGAUAACUACUGGAAACGGUAGCUAAUACCGCAUAACGUCGCAAGACCAAAGAGGGGGACCUUCGGGCCUCUUGCCAUCGGAUGUGCCCAGAUGGGAUUAGCUAGUAGGUGGGGUAACGGCUCACCUAGGCGACGAUCCCUAGCUGGUCUGAGAGGAUGACCAGCCACACUGGAACUGAGACACGGUCCAGACUCCUACGGGAGGCAGCAGUGGGGAAUAUUGCACAAUGGGCGCAAGCCUGAUGCAGCCAUGCCGCGUGUAUGAAGAAGGCCUUCGGGUUGUAAAGUACUUUCAGCGGGGAGGAAGGGAGUAAAGUCAAUACCUUUGCUCAUUGACGUUACCCGCAGAAGAAGCACCGGCUAACUCCGUGCCAGCCGCCGCCGUAA
rnacentral:rRNA from 1 species